rnacentral:snoRNA from 1 species
CAGCAGUGAUAGUAAAAGAAUGACUCUUACAAUCAUGAGGCUCGUGCUUCAGCAAGAGCACGGACCCUCUGAUUACUUUCAAGCACUGUUGAGCUGC